rnacentral:rRNA from 1 species
CAGCAGUCGCCGCGGUAAUACGAAGGGGGCUAGCGUUGUUCGGAAUUACUGGGCGUAAAGCGCACGUAGGCGGAUAUUUAAGUCAGGGGUGAAAUCCCGCAGCUCAACUGCGGAACUGCCUUUGAUACUGGGUAUCUUGAGUAUGGAAGAGGUUAGUGGAAUUGCGAGUGUAGAGGUGAAAUUCGUAGAUAUUGGGAAGAACACCGGUGGCGAAGGCGGCAACCUGGUCCAUUACUGACGCUGAGGCGCGAUAGCGUGGGGAGCAAACAGGAUUAGAUACCCGUGUAGUCCCUGUCUCUUAUAC